CUUCGGAUUGUAAACUCCUGUUGUUGAGGAGAUAAUGACGGUACUCAACAAGGUAAGUGACGGCUAACUACGUGCCAGCAGCCGCGGUAAAACGUAGGUCACAAGCGUUGUCCGGAAUUACUGGGUGUAAAGGGAGCGCAGGCGGGAAGACAAGUUGGAAGUGAAAUCCAUGGGCUCAACCCAUGAACUGCUUUCAAAACUGUUUUUCUUGAGUAGUGCACAGGUAGGCGGAAUUCCCGGUGUAGCGGUGGAAUGCGUAGAUAUCGGGAGGAACACCAGUGGCGAAGGCGGCCUACUGGGCACCAACUGACGCUGAGGCUCGAAAGUGUGGGUAGCAAACAGGAUUAGAUACCCUGGUAGUCCACACUGUAAACGAUGAUUACUAGGUGUUGGAGGAUUGACCCCUUCAGUGCCGCAGUUAACACAAUAAGUAAUCCACCUGGGGAGUACGACCGCAAGGUUGAAACUCAAAGGAAUUGACGGAC
rnacentral:rRNA from 1 species